AUACGGAGGAUCCGAGCGUUAUCCGGAUUUAUUGGGUUUAAAGGGUGCGCAGGCGGCCAUUUAAGUCAGCGGUUAAAUCGUGGGGCUCAACCCCAUUCUGCCGUUGAUACUGGGUGGCUUGAUUGCGGUCGAGGUUGGCGGAAUUCGUUGUGUAGCGGUGAAAUGCAGAGAUAUGACGAAGAACACCGAUUGCGUAGGCGGCUACCUGGACGACACAUGACGCGGAGGCUCGAAAGCUAGGGGAGCAAACGGGAUUAGAUACCCCGGUAGUCCUAGCCGUAAACGAUGAACACUAGGCGUAGUCGGUAUCGACCCCGGCUGUGCCGUAGCCAACGCGUUAAGUGUUCCGCCUGGGGAGUACGGCCGCAAGGCUAAAACUCAAAGGAAUUGACGGGG
rnacentral:rRNA from 1 species